rnacentral:tRNA from 1 species
GGGCCCGUAGCUCAGUUGGUCAGAGCACUCGACUCAUAAUCGAAGGGUCGCAGGUUCAAGUCCUGCCGGGCCCA